UCGUCAGCUUCUUUUCUUUUGGGUUCUAGCUCUCGGAUUCAUCCGGUCGGCACUCUUCUCAUCAGUCUGCAGCCAUCCGAGUAAUAAUGUGUGCAUCCUUCGUUAAAAAUUCGAAAUAAAUAAUUAAAAUCUAUGGAUGUGAACGUAUGGUGAGGUAUUUUUCAACGAGGUCAUGGACAUCAAAAGGGAGAAAGAAUUUAUUUAAUGCUUGCCUAGUCAUCUCUUCAGUUUACUAUCUAUUAUUCUGUUUUAAAAACCAGUUUGAAAUGUUUUUGUUUAUGAACCUCUUUCGCUUUUUUGUUUGUUUUAGAUCAACGCCAUCUGCCAGUCAGCAUAACAACUUUAUGCAAGAUUCGCCUAGCGGGAAAACAACAAUGACGAUGUUUAUGCUUAUGCUAAUUCAUGUGUCGAUGGGUUUGGGAUUUCCAAAUCGAGUCACAUGUGUCCUAGGCUCUGAUGGAAAAGGAUGUAUUAACGCCUGCGACACGGCUGCCCAUGCCGCCAUGCAAACUCACUUUUUUGGGAGUGUGCAUACCUGGCUGAGAUGGGUGGCGACAAGACACACGUGAAUAAAACGAUGAUCGUGUGAUUUCUUUGGCUUCUUCGUGGAAAAUGCAACAGCACCAAAGCUUAGGGGGGAGGUGAGCAAACAACAAGGACCAGAAGCAUCGCAUUUCCCGGUGACGUGCAAAAAGACAGAUGGAAACACACAUACAACAAUAGUUUUUGGGAUUUGGAAGGCAUCGCAGAGAGGCUGCGUGUGUGUGUGUCUGUGUGUGGAUCGGUGCUUUCUCCCUACUACCCCCAGUGUGUGUGUGUGUGUCCCGGACCCUGCCGCCGCCUCCGAAAACUCCGCCAAAAGGGAGGGGGAGGAGGAGGAGAGGAAGAGAAUGCGAUCAAUACGUCGUAGGCAAGACUGAGGAGAGAGAGAGAGAGAGAAGUU